UUGCUCCCCACGCUUUCGUGCAUGAGCGUCAGUGCAGGCCCAGGGGAUUGCCUUCGCCAUCGGUGUUCCUCCGCAUAUCUACGCAUUUCACUGCUACACGCGGAAUUCCAUCCCCCUCUGCCGCACUCAAGCCUUGCAGUCACAAAGGCAGUUCCCAGGUUGAGCCCGGGGAUUUCACCUCUGUCUUACAAAACCGCCUGCGCACGCUUUACGCCCAGUAAUUCCGAUUAACGCUUGCACCCUACGUAUUACCGCGGCUGCUGGCACGUAGUUAGCCGGUGCUUAUUCUUCAGGUACCGUCAUCCUCCCGAGGUAUUAGCCCAGAAGAUUUCUUCCCUGACAAAAGCGGUUUACAACCCGAAGGCCUUCUUCCCGCACGCGGCAUGGCUGGAUCAGGCUUGCGCCCAUUGUCCAAAAUUCCCCACUGCUGCCUCCCGUAGGAGUCUGGGCCGUGUCUCAGUCCCAGUGUGGCUGGUCGUCCUCUCAGACCAGCUACAGAUCGUCGGCUUGGUAGGCCUUUACCCCACCAACUACCUAAUCUGACAUCGGCCGCUCCAAUAGCGAGAGGUCUUGCGAUCCCCCCCUUUCACCCUCAGGUCGUAUGCGGUAUUAAUCCGGCUUUCGCCGGGCUAUCCCCCACUACUGGGCACGUUCCGAUGCAUUACUCACCCGUUCGCCACUCGUCGCCAGGUUGCCCCGCGUUACCGUUCGACUUGCAUGUGUAAGGCAUGCCGCCAGCGUUCAAUCUGAGCCAGGAUCAAACUCU
rnacentral:rRNA from 1 species